rnacentral:rRNA from 1 species
UACGGAGGGUGCAAGCGUUAAUCGGAAUUAUUGGGCGUAAAGAGCUCGUAGGCGGUUUGUUGCGUCGGCUGUGAAAUCCCGAGGCUCAACCUCGGGUCUGCAGUCGAUACGAGCAAACUAGAGUGUUGCAGGGGAGACUGGAAUUCCUGGUGUAGCGGUGAAAUGCGCAGAUAUCAGGAGGAACACCGGUGGCGAAGGCGGGUCUCUGGGCAACAACUGACGCUGAGGAGCGAAAGCGUGGGGAGCGAACAGG